UAGUCCGGAUUGGAGUCUGCAACUCGACUCCAUGAAGUCGGAAUCGCUAGUAAUCGUGGAUCAGAAUGCCACGGUGAAUACGUUCCCGGGCCUUGUACACACCGCCCGUCACACCAUGGGAGUGGGUUGCAAAAGAAGUAGGUAGCUUAACCUUCGGGAGGGCGCUUACCACUUUGUGAUUCAUGACUGGGGUGAAGUCGUAACAAGGUAACCGUAGGGGAACCUGCGGUUGGAUCACCUCCUUA
rnacentral:rRNA from 3 species